rnacentral:misc_RNA from 1 species
AAGUCGUAACAAGGUUUCCGUAGGUGAACCUGCGGAAGGAUCAUUAACACGUAUCCACGUAUCAACCCCUAGUGUCACGAGUGCGCGAGCCGGUCAUACUUUAGUUGACCGUAUGCAGCCGAUCAAUUCAUUUUGAUUUUGCUGCGCGUGCUCAGUUUUCUCUCUUGUUUUCCAUUGAAUUUUAACCACUUGAACCCAUCAGACUAAAACCAUUUCGCGUUUGGCGGUCUCCGCUAAAACCGAAACAAUAAAUAACAAGAAACAACUCUUAGCGACGGAUUUCUUGGCUCCC